AGCUCCAGUAGCCUAUAUUAAAGUUGUUGCAGUUAAAAAGCUCGUAGUUGGAUUUCUGGUAUGAUGCGCCUGAUCCGCGACGAUUUACGUCUGUGAGUAUCGGAGCGCGUCUGCCAUCCUUCCGGGGACCGUCUCUACCUUUUACUAGGCCGGAGCCGUGAUCCGGAUCGUUUACUUUGAAAAAAUUAGAGUGUUCAAAGCAGGCCUUUGCUGUGAAUACAUUAGCAUGGAAUAAUGAUCUAGGACUUCGGUUCUAUUUUGUUGGUUUCUAGCACUGAAGUAAUGAUUGAUAGGGAUAGUUGGGGGUGCUAGUAUUGGGCGGCCAGAGGUGAAAUUCUUGGAUUCGCUCAAGACUAACUUAUGCGAAAGCAUUCACCAAGGAUGUCUUCUUUAAUCAAGA
rnacentral:rRNA from 1 species